GACGAACGCUGGCGGCGUGCUUAACACAUGCAAGUCGAACGGUGAAAGGGAGCUUGCUCCCUGGAUCAGUGGCGAACGGGUGAGUAACACGUGGGCAACCUGCCCCAGACUUCGGGAUAACGCUUCGAAAGAGGUGCUAAUACCGGAUACGAACUCCUUGGGCAUCCUUGGGGUUGGAAAGUUUUUCGGUCUGGGAUGGGCCCGCGGCCUAUCAGCUCGUUGGUGAGGUAACGGCUCACCAAGGCGACGACGGGUAGCCGGCCUGAGAGGGCGACCGGCCACACUGGGGCUGAGACACGGCCCAGACUCCUACGGGAGGCAGCAGUGGGGAAUAUUGCGCAAUGGGCGAAAGCCUGACGCAGCAACGCCGCGUGAGGGAUGACGGCCUUCGGGUUGUAAACCUCUUUCAGCAGGGAAGAAGCGAAAGUGACGGUACCUGCAGAAGAAGCACCGGCUAACUACGUGCCAGCCGCCGCCGUAA
rnacentral:rRNA from 1 species